UACGUAGGGUGCAAGCGUUAAUCGGAAUUACUGGGCGUAAAGCGUGCGUAGACGGUAGCGUAAGUCGGGUGUGAAAGCCCCGGGCUCAACCUGGGAAUGGCAGUGGAUACUGGCAAGCUAGAGUGCGGUAGAGGGUAGUGGAAUUCCCGGUGUAGCGGUGAAAUGCGUAGAGAUCGGGAGGAACACCAGUGGCGAAGGCGGCUACCUGGGACCAGCACUGACACUCAGGCACGAAAGCGUGGGGAGCAAACAGG
rnacentral:rRNA from 1 species